rnacentral:tRNA from 1 species
UCCUCUGUAGUUCAAUGGUAGAACGGCGGACUGUUAAUCCGUAUGUCACUGUCUUCGAGUCCAGUCAGAGGAGCCA